CCCUUAGAUGUUCUGGGCGGCCCGCGCACUACAAUGGCGUGUGCAGCGAGUGCCGAAGUAGAGUUUUCCGAGGUAUUCUUGCAAUGCUCGUUUUGAUGGGGAUAGACCCUUGCAACUGUUGGUUUUGAACGAGGAAUUCCUUGUAAGCAUGGUUUAUCAUCCGACGCUGAAUGCGUCCCUGCCCUUUGUACACACCGCCCGUCGCUCCUACCGAUUGGGUGAGCCGAUGAAACUCUCGGAUGUAGGCUAUUCAUAGCCCGCAGAAGAGAUUUGAAUCGUAGCGCUUAGAGGAAGGAGAAGUCGUAACA
rnacentral:rRNA from 1 species